rnacentral:rRNA from 1 species
UAACGCGCGGGUAACCUGCCUCACACUGGGGGAUAACAGUUAGAAAUAGCUGCUAAUACCGCAUAAGCGCACGGUUCCGCAUGGAACAGUGUGAAAAACUCCGGUGGUGUGAGAUGGACCCGCGUCUGAUUAGCCAGUUGGCGGGGUAACGGCCCACCAAAGCGACGAUCAGUAGCCGGCCUGAGAGGGUGAACGGCCACAUUGGGACUGAGACACGGCCCAAACUCCUACGGGAGGCAGCAGUGGGGAAUAUUGCACAGUGGGGGAAACCCUGAUGCAGCGACGCCGCGUGAGUGAAGAAGUAUUUCGGUAUGUAAAGCUCUAUCAGCAGGGAAGAAAGUGACGGUACCUGAAUAAGAAGCCCCGGCUAACUACGUGCCAGCAGCCGCGGUAAUACGUAGGGGGCAAGCGUUAUCCGGAUUUACUGGGUGUAAAGGGAGCGUAGACGGCAAGGCAAGUCUGAAGUGAAAGCCCGGUGCUUAACGCCGGGACUGCUUUGGAAACUGUUUGGCUGGAGUGCCGGAGAGGUAAGCGGAAUUCCUAGUGUAGCGGUGAAAUGCGUAGAUAUUAGGAAGAACACCAGUGGCGAAGGCGGCUUACUGGACGGUAACUGACGUUGAGGCUCGAAAGCGUGGGGAGCAAACAGGAUUAGAUACCCUGAUAGUCCACGCCGUAAACGAUGAUUGCUAGGUGU